CUUCAAGAAGUGCAAAAUGUGCACUUGGGAAGCUCAGGAAUGCCUCAAGGUCUGUGUGUCUGGUGUGGGCCUACAUGGAAUAUCUCCAUCUCUGAGGAAGACGCCUCUAUCGAUGGAGCGUUGGCAUCCCAGAGGAGGGCACCGCUCUGCUCAUGGUUUAUCUCUUGGACCACAAGUGCUGGAUGAGAGGGGAUGAAGACAUAAAGCCAUGGCACAGUGAGAUGAUGCUCUUCAGGCUUGAUACACAACUUUAGCAAUAAAAGGAAGUGUCUG